UACAGAGGGGGCUAGCGUUAUUCGGAAUUAUUGGGCGUAAAGGGCGCGUAGGCGGCCAUGCGUGUCUUCCGUGAAAUCCCUCGGCUUAACUGAGGACGUGCGGAAGAAACUGCAAGGCUCGAGUCCGGGAGAGGGGGGGUGGAAUUCCCAGUGUAGCGGUGAAAUGCGUAGAUAUUGGGAGGAACACCGGUGGCGAAGGCGGCCCCCUGGACCGGUACUGACGCUGAGGCGCGAAAGCGUGGGUAGCAAACGGGGAUUAAGAAA
rnacentral:rRNA from 1 species